CUUUUUUGGAGGCGGUUACACAGAGAAUACAGGAGCCUCUGCCUUAGCCGCCCAGAUGCUUUGCAUUUUGUACACAGCUUUGACUAAGUGCUCUGGACUUCCAAGAAGUUAACCGGAGUGGAAGGCGAGUCAUAUUGUGGAUGCGGAAUGCAAGCUUAGACAAGAAAAAACUGUCAGCAGAGCGCCUCUGCUGUCACCGUCACACCCAAAUGAGCGAGGACGUCUCUCAGAGCGCAAACUCAGAUCCACACACGGACAUCUUCGACCGAAUCCUUCUUCUGUCUCUAUUCCGGGCUAAGGAGAGAAAGAAACGAAUAUGGAACCUUUAUAGAGCAUUCAGAGGCUACACACAUGGAUCUUGCUGAAACGGAGUUACUUAAAAACAGAGAAAGUAUGUUUUCCCACCAGAUAGAUGUUAUAAUUCCUCUCUGAAGCAUACCCAAGUCUAUGGGUAUCAGUAACAGCCAUUUCAAAUGCCUCUCUGAGCCGUGCCAGCUCCAUGAGAGGCUGUGGGGAUGCUGCUUCCAGCUUUCCCUGUGCAGAACUCCGUUGUAAAUCCGUCUGAGUUGCCAAGGUGGCAGCAGAGCAUAGGGAUAGCUCCUCAAGCUCCAGCAUCAACAAGGAAGAUCACAUUUUAGGACAAAUACUCAUCUACCUGCAUUUAAACAUCCAUUUUCGUAUGUUACAAGAUGAUUAUGCGUGAACAAAAACAGAAGGUACAUACUGGCAGGAAACAAAAGCACGUUAAACCAUGGAGAUUUCCUCUCACGUAAACCUGCCAUUUGUUAAGCAGUUGCUCUCUAUUCCACAGGGAAGCUGGCAAAAACUUGAUACAAACAUUCUCCAACUGCACUGGGAGGAAUAAGUGAAGGUAACACCUUUUUAAAAAAGGCAUACAAACAGAUAAAAGAUCUACCUAGGGACUUAUUCAAACUUAGAUGCUACCAUUGUGCAAAAUGUUACCGAAUCAGCACACCAACAUGGCACACGUAUACAUAUGUAACAAACCUGCACGUUGUGCACAUGUACCCUAGAACAUAAAGUAUAAUAAAAUAAUAAUAAUAAUAAUAAAGUAAUCAAUAUGGGAAAAAAAAGUUACGAGUCUACCUAUAUCUAACUAUAGUUCUGAUAAAGAGAGAAGUGAUGUUUUAAUCUGGGAAAACACACUUAAUCAAACAUGUAUAAGAGAUUCUGAGUUAAAAUUGAUAUGUACUUUCUCUCACUAUCAACGUGCUAGAAAAAUAAAAUUGCCUUCUUUGGAAGGACAGAGGCAAUUUUCAAGAGUGCUUAUUCACAGAAAAAAAAUGAAUAUUUGCACUCAAAGUUUAUACAGUUACAAAGAGCUCUGAGCUUGGUCUUGGAAGGUCUUAUUUCAAGUCUCCAUCUUAUCAGGGAAAUCACGUAACUGCUCGGAGCCUCAGCAUCCCUUCUAUCAAAUAAAAAGAGUAUAAUAAAGAUCAUCUUUCAGGGUAGAUAUGAAAAGAUCAAGUAAAGUGAGGUGUUUCAAAGCUCAAAAUAAGAAAAAGCUGUCAUUAUUUAUAUAAUUAAUGUGUUUAUAUAACAUAUAAAUAUAUAUAAUUUAUAUAAUUAAUAUGAACACAAUUUAGCGUGAGAUAUAUUUAGUCCAUCUAACCUUCAGCCAUUUCAUGGAGUAUUAAUUGCAUUGCUACUUCCUGCUUUGUUGGUAACCUUGUUCCAUAUAACCUCUGAGAGCUUCGAAGGUGUAGAGCUGCUUAGUUCUUGCACAGUUAACUCUGCAGUGCUUUCAGGUUUCACCAUCUGCCACCCUAGAAAUAAACUUGACCUACCCUAGAAAUAAACUUCCUCAAACCAGA